AUUGAACGCUGGCGGCAGGCCUAACACCUGCAAGUCGAGCGGAGCGGCGGACGGGUGAGUAAUGCCUAGGAAUCUGACUGGUAGUGGGGGAUAACGUCCGGCAACGGGCGCUAAUACCGCAUACUAUCAGAUGAGCCUAGGUCGGCUUAGCUAGUUGGUGGUGUAAAGGCCUACCAAGGCGAAGAUCCGUAACUGGUCUGAGAGGAUGAUCAGUCACACUGGAACUGAGACACGGUCCAGGCUCAUACGUGAGGCAGCAGUGGGGAAUAGUGGACAAUGGGUGAAAGCCGGAUCCAGCCAUGCCGCGUGUGUGAAGAAGGUCUUCGGAGUGUAAAGCACUUUAAGUUGGGAGGCGUUACCAACAGAAUAAGCACCGGCUAACUUCGUGCCAGCAGCCGCGGUAAUUC
rnacentral:rRNA from 1 species